UACACUCCUGCGGGAGGCAGCAGUGGGGAAUAUUGGACAAUGGGCGCAAGCCUGAUCCAGCCAUGCCGCGUGAGUGAUGAAGGCCCUAGGGUUGUAAAGCUCUUUCACCGGAGAAGAUAAUGACGGUAUCCGGAGAAGAAGCCCCGGCUAACUUCGUGCCAGCAGCCGCGGUAAUACGAAGGGGGCUAGCGUUGUUCGGAAUUACUGGGCGUAAAGCGCACGUAGGCGGAUCGAUCAGUCAGGGGUGAAAUCCCAGGGCUCAACCCUGGAACUGCCUUUGAUACUGUCGAUCUGGAGUAUGGAAGAGGUGAGUGGAAUUCCGAGUGUAGAGGUGAAAUUCGUAGAUAUUCGGAGGAACACCAGUGGCGAAGGCGGCUCACUGGUCCAUUACUGACGCUGAGGUGCGAAAGCGUGGGGAGCAAACAGGAUUAGAAACCCGGGUAGUCCCA
rnacentral:rRNA from 1 species